GCAGUUGUGGCUAAGUGGUUAAGGCGACGGACUAGAAAUCCUAUGGGGUCUCCCCGCACAGGUUCGAAUCCUGUCGACUGCG
rfam:Ixodes scapularis strain Wikel colony gcontig_1108378780088, whole genome shotgun sequence.